UACGUAGGGUGCAAGCGUUAAUCGGAAUUACUGGGCGUAAAGCGUGCGCAGGCGGUGAUGUAAGACAGUUGUGAAAUCCCCGGGCUCAACCUGGGAACUGCAUCUGUGACUGCAUUGCUGGAGUACGGCAGAGGGGGAUGGAAUUCCGCGUGUAGCAGUGAAAUUCGUAGAUAUUGGGUGGAACACCGGUGGCGAAAGCGGCUCUCUGGUCCGGACCUGACGCUGAGGCGCGAAAGCGUGGGGAGCAAACAGG
rnacentral:rRNA from 1 species